AGGACGAACGCUGGCGGCGUGCCUAACACAUGCAAGUCGAGCGGAAAGGCCUCCUUCGGGAGGUACUCGAGCGGCGAACGGGUGAGUAACACGUGGGCAACCAACCCCUCACAUCGGGAUACCCCGGGGAAACUCGGAUCAAUACCGGAUAAUGCGCGACGCUGUUGGGCGUCGCACCAAAGGUAGCUUCGGCCUCUGGUGAGGGACGGGCCCGCGGCCCAUUAGCUUGUUGGUGGGGUAACGGCCUACCAAGGCAACGAUGGGUAGCUGGUCUGAGAGGAUGAUCAGCCACACUGGGACUGAGAUACGGCCCAGACUCCUACGGGAGGCAGCAGUGGGGAAUAUUGGACAAUGGGCGCAAGCCUGAUCCAGCAAUGCCGCGUGAGUGAUGAAGGCCUUAGGGUUGUAAAGCUCUUUCGCCCGCGACGAUGAUGACGGUAGCGGGAGAAGAAGCCCCGGCUAACUUCGCGCCAGCAGCCGCGGU
rnacentral:rRNA from 1 species